GGUUUGAUUAUGGCUCAGAUUGAACAGCGGGAUGCUUUACACAUGCAAGUCGAACAGCACGGACUUCGGUCUGGUGGCGAGUGGCGAACGGGUGAGUAAUGUAUCCCGGAACGUGCCUGAAUGGCGGGGGAUAACUACGCGAAAGCGUAGCUAAUACCGCAUACGCCCUUCGGGGGAAAGCGGGGGACCUUCGGGCCUCGCACUAUUAGAGCGGCCGAUAUCGGAUUAGCUAGUUGGUGGGGUAACGGCUCGCAAGGCGACGAUCCGUAGCUGGUUUGAGAGGACGACCAGCCACACUGGGACUGAGACACGGCCCAGACUCUUACAGGAGGCAGCAGUGGGAAUUUUGGACAAUGGGGAAACCUGAUCCCAGCCAUCCCGCGUGUGCGAUGAAGGCCUUCGGGUUGUAGCGCUUUUGGCAGGAAAGAAACGGCACGGGAUAAUACCCCGUGCAACUGACCAAUACCUGCAGAAUAAGCACCGGCUAACUACGUGCCAGCAACCGCGAUACAGCCAUGGGGUGCAAAGCGUUAAUCAGGUACUGGGCGUAAAGCGUGCGCAGGCGGUUCGGAAAGAAAGAUGUGAAAUCCAGAGCUUAACUUUGGAACUGCAUUUUUAACUACCGAGCUGGAAGUGUGUCAGAAAUUGGAAUUCCGCGUGCGCUUGAAGUGAAAUCGUAGAUAUGCGGAGGAACACCGAUGGCGAAGGCAGCCUCUGAGAUGCUUACUGACGCUCAUGCCGAAAAGCGUGGGGAGCAAACAGGAUUGAAUACCCUGGUAGUCCGCCUAAACGAUGCAUCAACUAGCUGUUGGGGCCUUCGGGCCUUGGUAGCAGCUAACGCGUGAAGUUGACCGCCUGGGAGAGUACGGUCGCAAAGUUAAAACUCAAAGGAAUUGACGGGGACCCGCACAAGCGGUGGAUGAUGUGGAUUAAUUCGAUGCAACACUUGAAAAACCUUACCUACCCUUGACAUGUCUGGAAUCCCGAAGAGAUUUGAGUGCUCGCAAAGAGAACAGACACAGGUGCUGCAUGGCUGUCGUCAGCUCGUGUCCGUGAGAUGUUGGGUUUAAGUCCCGCAACGAGCGCAACCCUUGUCAUUAGUUGCUACGAAAGGGGGCACUCUGUCGAGACUGCCGGUGACAAACCGGAGGAAGGUGGGGAUGACGUCAACAGUCCUCAUGGCCCUUAUGGGUAGGGCUUCACACGUCAUACAAUGGUCGGGACAGAGGGUCGUCAGCCCGCGAGAGGAGCCAAUCCCAGAAACCCGAUCGUAGUCCGGAUCGCAGUCUGCAACUCGACUGCGUGAAGUCGGAAUCGCUAGUAAUCGCGGAUCAGCAUGUCGCGGUGAAUACGUUCCCGGGUCUUGUACACACCGCCCGUCACACCAUGGGAGUGGGUUUUACCAGAAGUAGUUAGCCUAACCCGUAAGGAGGCGAUUACCACGGUAGGGUUAUGACUGGGGUAAAUCAUGCUCAGGCA
rnacentral:rRNA from 1 species